rnacentral:rRNA from 1 species
AUUGAACGCUGGCGGCAGGCCUAACACAUGCAAGUCGAACGGUAACAGGAAACAGCUUGCUGUUUCGCUGACGAGUGGCGGACGGGUGAGUAAUGUCUGGGAAACUGCCUGAUGGAGGGGGAUAACUACUGGAAACGGUAGCUAAUACCGCAUAACGUCGCAAGACCAAAGAGGGGGACCCUCGGGCCUCUUGCCAUCGGAUGUGCCCAGAUGGGAUUAGCUUGUUGGUGGGGUAACGGCUCACCAAGGCGACGAUCCCUAGCUGGUCUGAGGGGAUGACCAGCCACACUGGAACUGAGACACGGUCCAGACUCCUACGGGAGGCAGCAGUGGGGAAUAUUGCACAAUGGGCGCAAGCCUGAUGCAGCCAUGCCGCGUGUAUGAAGAAGGCCUUCGGGUUGUAAAGUACUUUCAGCGGGGAGGAAGGGAGUAAAGUUAAUACCUUUGCUCAUUGACGUUACCCGCAGAAGAAGCACCGGCUAACUCCGUG